GAACGCUGGCGGCGUGCCUAAUACAUGCAAGUCGAGCGAAUGGAUUAAGAGCUUGCUCUUAUGAAGUUAGCGGCGGACGGGUGAGUAACACGUGGGUAACCUGCCCAUAAGACUGGGAUAACUCCGGGAAACCGGGGCUAAUACCGGAUAAUAUUUUGAACUGCAUGGUUCGAAAUUGAAAGGCGGCUUCGGCUGUCACUUAUGGAUGGACCCGCGUCGCAUUAGCUAGUUGGUGAGGUAACGGCUCACCAAGGCAACGAUGCGUAGCCGACCUGAGAGGGUGAUCGGCCACACUGGGACUGAGACA
rnacentral:rRNA from 1 species